rnacentral:tRNA from 1 species
GGUCUUAUAGUCUAGUGGUUAGGACAUGGGAUUUUGAUUCCCAGAGCCCCGGUUCGAACCCGGGUAAGACCU